GUUGGCCCAAGGGGCAUGCAGGACCUCGUGUGUGCACAACCCUGGGGUGUGCCUCUUUCCACGUGUGUACAACCUCGGGACAGUGCACUCGUCCCAGUAUACGUAGGCUUGUGUUUGCACCAUCCGAUAUGCACGAACCGCUCAUUGGGCGUCUCCCACUUUGCAUUGGGGCCACGCAGUGACAGCGAUGGGUAGCUAGUGAAAGAAACACAAAGAAGUGGGCAGUUACGGCAACACAGUGAAGUUGGGAAGGAGUCCCCUGGCCCGAAAGAUUUGAAAAACCUUUUUGGAGAAAGCAUGAGCCAAGGCCAGGGCCUGGCUACAGAGGGAAUCAGGGGUCAAGUCCCAAUUUCCUGUUCAGGCCUGAGAAGUUUUUUCUAGAAGGCAUUUAAACAGGAGAUGCCACCAAAUUCCUUUUGAGACUAUGGGGUUGAAGGAGAAGAGGCGGGUGAUAGGAAGGUAUGUGGUAAAGAGGACUGUUUGUGGGGCCUAAGGGACAAGAGAGUGGGAACAGGCUCAGAAGGAAAGUGGCCUCCCCAGGGAAGGAAUGGGGUAUGAAAACAGGAUGGGGGACUAUGGUCUCCCCAGCUGUUUACACCUCCUGGUGUUUCAGGCUCUUCUGUGUUGAGCACACUCCUCUCUCUGGGGGAGAGACAAAGACUUAAGCCCCAGGGCUGACCUUUACUGGCUGGGUACCUGGGCAAGCACCUAUGUCAGUGGAGAAGUCUGCAGGCACAGAGCAAGAAUAACCCAGAAUAAACAUGGGAUGUUAGCAUUUAUGCUGGACUGACUUUAGAAGUUCCUUGUCUGACCCUCUUUGUCCUGUUAUCAAAGAACCACCUCUUCAGCAUACGUUUCAUAUGGUUAUGAAUAUUUUCUUGUUAUGCUUGCUAUUCGUAGGUAUAUUUUAUGGGCAUAAAAAUACAUCAACUCUAACAUGCCUCUACAUUCCCAUUGAGAACCCCUCUACAACAACCCCAAUAUGUUAUCAUUUGAAUGUAUCUCAUGAUGGAGGACACUUCACAGGACAGCCUUUUUGGGGAAGCAUAAAAAAUUUAUCCUUAUGAGCCCCAGAUCUUUAGGAUAUGAAAUGAAGGUCCGCGCGUGCAUGUGUGUGUGUGUGUGUGUGUGCGCACCCCAAAAGAUAAUUUUCUGAGCAUAUGCUGUGUGUUAGGCUUGUGUUAAGGCUAGGCAUAUAGCAGUGAAGGGGAACAAAAUAUACUACCCCAAAAUAUGCCUCUUUAGCAUAACGAUUAUUUUAGGCUGGUUAGUUUUCAGAGACUGCAAACACAGGGGAAGCUCUGAAAACUGAGUAGAAGUUACCCUUUUGUAAGAAACAUUUACAUUUAUAAGGGAAAUCUCCAUUUCUAAGGGUGACUCCUUCACUGUACGGAGAAGAGGAGGAUGACUCUAAAUCUUUAGAAACUCUUAUCAAUGGAGAAGACAAGGACUUAAAUCUACCUUACACUUUUUUAUUGUGCUUUGCUGGUAACUUCCUAUAAUUGAUCCCUACCCCCAGCAUCUUUUGUCUUUAGCUGAAAAUGGUAUCUAAGAUGAUGGGUUUGGCCAUUUGGGUAUUUUAUUCAAUUACGCAUGUAUGCUUUUGUUUGUUUUUCUCUUGUUAAUCUCUCUUGUAUCAGUUUAAUUAUUAGGCCAGCCAAAGAAACUAGAAGGGAAGAAGGGAAAACUUCAUCACCCCUGCAGCAGCCAAACACUUCCUGCCUCUAGGAGCUUAUAGACCCAAAUUGCAGGACACUAGGGUCCAAGAGCAAAAUAGCUUCGUCACACCUGAUAUGAUGCUGAAAAUCUAUGCAAUGUGGAUUACAGCCCGUUGGGCUGCCCCUGUGCCUCUGGGAUUAAAACUCUAGGAAUGAGGGGCGCCUGGAUGGCUCAGUCGGUUAAGCGUCCGGUCCGACUUCAGCUCAGGUCACGAUCUCGCGGUCCGUGAGUUCGAGUCCCGUGUUGGGCUCUGGGCUGAUGGCUCAGAGCCUGAAGCCUGCUUCCGAUUCUGUGUCUCCCUCUCUCUCUGCCCCUCCCCCGUUCAUGCUCUGUCUCUCUCUGUCCCAAAAAUAAAUAAACGUUAAAAAAAAAAAUUAAAAAAAAAAACAACUCUAGGGAUGGGACACCUAGGUGGCUCAGUCUGUUAAGUGUCCUACUCUUGAUAUCAGCUCAGGUCAUGGUUGUGGGAUUGAGACCCAUGUCGGGCUCUAAGCUGAGCGUGGAACCUGCUUGGGAUUCUCUCUCCCUCUUUCUCUGCCCUUCCCCCACUAGAGCAUACGCUCACACGCUCUAUCUCUCUCUCUCUCAAAAUAAGUAAAAAAUUGGGGCGCCUGGGUGGCUCAGUUGGUUAAGUGUCCAACUUCAGCUCAGGUCAUGAUCUUAUAGUUUGUGAGUUCAAGUCCCAUGUCAGGCUCUGUGCUGACAGCUCAGAGACUGGAGCCUGCUUCAGAUUUUGUGUCUCCCUCUCUCUCUGCCCCUUCCCCACUCAUGCUCUGUCUCUGUCUUAAAAAAAAUAAUAAAAUAAAAAUAAAUAAGUAAAAAAUAAUAAAAUAUUAAAAAAUAAUAAAACAACUCACAGACCUGGCUAGCUUAGUCUGCAGAGCAUGAGACUCUUGUUCUCGGAGCUGUGCGUUCGAGCUCCACGUUGGAUGUAGAGAGUACUUCAAAAUAAAAUCUUUGGGAAAAAGAAAAACUGGGGAGCUGUGAAGGUGCAGACUGGAUGGGUGCACAACCCUUGCUACCCUACCAUGGGGGGUGACCUUGCCAAACAUAGCCUCCCUCUCCCAUAUGCAUUCCACAGUUGCCCCAGUCCUGGGCAUGGUCCAUAGUCCUUGCUACUGGGGUUAGGGAGAAUUGACCUCCUGAUCAGCAGCACCAGGCACUUUAUGCAGAAAAAACCACUAGGGACCUUCCUCACAAGGGCACUGUGGGCUGUCUUUAGGGGUGGGAGCAAUCCUGCCGAGCCCUCUUGGCAGCCACUUCUGGGCAGCCCUGCCUGCCUGGGAGGUGGGGCCUUGGGGAUAAAUGGCUGCUGUAACAGUGUCACUCAGGCAAGGGUGACAUGCCACCACUUUAAUCCACCAGCAGGGCUGGCCACAGGCUGGCACCUCCUAGGAAACCAAGCCUGAGAUCUGAUCUAAAUCAAAUCCAGGUAACCUGGAAGGAGGUGAGGUGGGCCCACCCCCUCCUGCUGAACGGGCAGGUUGUACUGGAUCACCGCUCUGCAUUUCACACUUUUUCCAAAGGCCAAGGAUCUGGGUGAUAUCAUCCUCCCUGAACGGCUCUUUUUGGAGUAUGCUCCAGAGUCACGCUUCCCGGUCCCCCAGUCCCUGAGCAGAGGACCAGAACUGCCCCCUCUAAAUGCUGGGCUGGGCGUGGGGUCUGGCCCAGGAAACACCUGGUGGGGAAUUCGUCUAGCUCCCAAAAGUAAACCACAGAGACCUUGAAGGCACCGCCCUUGGGCAGCUUCUUACCUCCAAGGGUCACGUUUAAGUGUGUGUGUGUGGGGGGGGGGGGGAUCCCUGGAGAAAUGAGGCCGUUUGUAGAAGAAUAAAUACCACCUUGUGCCUGCCCACUUCUUGCAGAGGUCUGUGGGCUUGUUCGGGGCCUGUGUAAAUAAUUUAAUGGAAAACUCCAGAAGGGAGACAGUCCACGUGAGCCUGACCUUGCCUGCCAGCAGACAGGUUAUAAUAUGUUUCUCCUCUAUGGAGUGACUGGGACUCAGGAUGCCUCGGUCCCAAUCCAGAGAAAUAAGACACUACUCUGGACUCCCGGAGAGGGACAGUUGGCCGAGUGUGCCCGCUUCUAAUGGGCGGGAGGGAUUUCUUCAGGGGGGACCAUCCCUCCGGGCCCGGGUCACACACCCUAGCGUCUGAGAUGGCAAAGCCAGGGAGGGCCCUGGUGGUCCAGGACGCGUCCUGUCCUCUCCCCCACCCCCAUCCCCCGCAGGGCAGCCCGGGUCCCAGCCUUCCGCAGGGGCUUGGGGCAGGAGAAGGCUUCCGGCCGAUCCCACCCAGCCCGGCAGGGCGUCCCCCUCGGGCGGCAGGGCCGGCCGACCCCGCGAGCUGCCCUCCCAGUCCGCCUCCCAGGGCCGCGGGCGGCUCCUCCUCGGUGCACCCGCCCCUGCCCGGCCCGUCCAGGAGGCGGCGAGCGGGGAGGAGGGGAGGCGGGGAGGGGGGCGGGAGCGAUAGGGCCGCUGCCCGGAGGCCGCGCCACCCAGGCGCAAACAUUUCCUUAUGUGGUGGCUCCGCGGGCCGGGGCGGCGCCCGAGGGGCUGCUGGGGACGGCGGGCACGCCCGGGGCCUCGCGGCCACCCUGGCUCACUGGCACGGCCGCCGCUGCGCGCGGCAACCUGGCCUCCUCUGAUGGACAAAACCAAGGGGAAAGGCCCCCUGCCCUGUUCUCUGUCCCCCUGCCCGUGUCGCACGUUCCCCUAGAAGGAAGUGGUCACUGUUUGUCGGCCAGAACCCUCCCGCUCGCCGACUUCCCCUCUGCGUUUGUGGGGAAAGUAGCCCUGAGAUCUGGAGUUCAAGGCGGAGACCUCUCAGGUCUGGGCGAGGAAGGGGCGAGGGGUGGGCUGCCUGGCCGGCUGCUGGGUCCCCUCGCCUGGUCCACCGCCCUGGCGCCUCCUUGGUCCAUCUGCACAAUGGGGCACCCUCAUUUGCCUCGGGAGCUAUAUUUGGCCGUGGAGGGAUAACAGGGUGACUCAUGGGAGGGAUGGCCCAGGGGCGGGAAGUGGAUGAGAGGCAUCGCAGAAUGCCUGCUGCCUUCUGUUUCAGGGGGGCUUCAGGCUCCGAGCCUCCAAGAACGCUCCGCAUCAAAACGUGGGCCCCACGGGCUGCCUUCUGGCUGCAGGGGCAGGCCUCCAGAGCCUGAUUAGGGCACCCCGGCCCUGACACAAUCCCCACCCCAGGUUCUGAGCUGUCUGCCUUGACCCUCUGAACUGUCCUGGAUUCUGAGGCCAGUAUCUGUGCCAAUUACAGCCUUUGAGCAAACUUUAAUGUCUGAUAGGGCAGGUUCCCUAUGGGAUAUUUUUUAAGUGGGGCUUUCAGCAAGAAGCUUGCCACCCUAGUGAAUCUCUAAUUGGUCUAAUUUCAGGGAGUAUAAUUUGACGCUGCAUCUCAGGGAUAUGUCUGGUCCUGGAGGCCUUGGCAUGCAGCACCACCCCCAACAGGCUGAAGGAGAAAAAACUCUGCUUGGCUCCCAGCCCUCCUCUCCAGCUUCCCCAUGACUCCCAUCCCUCCUUCUGCAGCUCCUAGAUUCCUGGCUCCCUGGGGUCUGCCUCUGAGUCACGGGGCACUCAUGCCCAAGCUGCCUUCCCCAACACCAGAAAAUCAUUUCCAGCCUCAGACCCCCCCCCCCCACCACUGCCCCAGGCCACUCACCCAUCCUUGUUCAGUGUGACAGAAGGAUUCAAGACCCCCAGUUAGAAAACCACGCUUCUAUAGGAUAUAAGAUUCCAGAAGCUGAAGUAAAGAAUCCUGUCAGUAAGAGAUCAAUGGCCGUCCUUGCCCAUCAAUGGAUAGACUCUUUUCACACUGGGGAGAAGCCCCCCAAGGAAUCUGAAGAAAGAAGAUGGGGAAAUGGACAGUCAAAAGCCCGAGAUACUAUAAUCCAUACACAGAUAAAAUGGCCAAAUCUUCGAGUCAGAAAUGAUCUUUUUUUUUAAUGUUUAUUUGAGAGAGAGAAAAAGAGAGAGAGAGUGUGCACGCAUGCACAAGCAGGGCAGGGGCAGAGAGAGAGGGAGACAGAGGAUCUGAAGUGGGCUUUCGGGGCUCCAACUCAUGAACUGUGAGAUCAUGACUUGAGUUCAUGACCUCAGCUGAAGUCACACCUUAAUCGAUUGAGCCACCCAGGCCACCCCAAGUUAGAAGUGAUCUUAGCGGUCGUCUCUGUCACCUCAACACUUAAAGCAGACAUCUCCCCUACUUUGUUCCUGGAUUACUUCCAGUGGCAGGGAAUGUACUUCUUCUGUGUGUUAUGUCUUCAAUAGAAUUGAAAUCUGCUUUCUUUAAUGUCCGUCUUCAUGGUCCCGGUCUGUGUGACCAUGUGUUCUAAGAAGGCAGGCUCCCAGGGUCCCAGAGCAUCAUGGUGUUCAGUGAAUGUG